GAUGAACGCUGGCGGCGUGCCUAAUACAUGCAAGUCGAACGAACAGACGAGGAGCUUGCUCCUCUGACUUUAUCGGCGGACGGGAGAUUCACUCGUGGUUAACCUACCUAUCAGACUGGGAUAACUUCGGGGAACCGUAUCUAAUACCGGAUAAUAUAUUGAAUCUCAUGGUUCAAUCGUUAGAUACGGUUGUUCUUUCACUUAUAGAUGGAUCCGCGCCGCAUUAGCUAGUUGGUAAGGUGACGGCUUACCAAGGCAGCGAUGCGUAGACGACCUAAGAGGGUGGUCGGCCACCCGGGAACUGAGACACGGCCCAGACUCCUAGACGAGGACACAGUAGGGAAUCUUACGCAAUGGGCGAGAGCGUGACGGAGCACAGCGGCGUGAGGGAUGAAGGUCUUCGGAUCGUAAAACUCUGUUAUUAGGGAAGAACAAAUGUGUAAGUAACUAUGAACGUAUUGACGGUACCUAAUCAGAAAGCCCCGGCUAACUACGUG
rnacentral:rRNA from 1 species